rnacentral:rRNA from 1 species
GACGUAGGUGGCGAACGUUAUCCGGAAUUAUUGGGCGUAAAGGGUGCGUAGGCGGCGUGGCAAGUCUGAUGUGAAAUCCCGGGGCUCAACCCCGGAACUGCAUUGGAUACUGCCAUGCUAGAGUACUGGAGAGGAGAUUGGAAUUUACGGUGUAGCAGUGAAAUGCGUAGAUAUCGUAAGGAAGACCAGUGGCGAAGGCGAAUCCCUGGACAGUUACUGACGCUGAGGCACGAAGGCCAGGGGAGCAAACGGG